UCUACGGGCGGCAGCAGUGGGGAAUAUUGGACAAUGGGCGAAAGCCUGAUCCAGCCAUGCCGCGUGUGUGAAGAAGGCCUUCGGGUUGUAAAGCACUUUCAGUGGGGAAGAAAGCCUUGGGGCUAAUACCCUCGAGGAAGGACAUCACCCACAGAAGAAGCACCGGCUAACUCCGUGCCAGCAGCCGCGGUAAUACGGAGGGUGCGGGCGUUAAUCGGAAUUACGGGGCGUAAAGCGCGCGUAGGCGGUCUGAUAAGCCGGUUGUGAAAGCCCCGGGCUCAACCUGGGAACGGCAUCCGGAACUGUCAGGCUAGAGUGCAGGAGAGGAAGGUAGAAUUCCCGGUGUAGCGGUGAAAUGCGUAGAGAUCGGGAGGAAUACCAGUGGCGAAGGCGGCCUUCUGGACUGACACUGACGCUGAGGUGCGAAAGCGUGGGUAGCAAACAGGAUUAGAUACCCCUGUAGUC
rnacentral:rRNA from 1 species